CCUACGGGAGGCAGCAGUGGGGAAUAGUGCACAAUGGGGGAAACCCUGAUGCAGCAACGCCGCGUGAGUGAAGAAGGAUUUCGGGAGGUAAAGCUCUAUCAGCAGGGAAGAAGAUGACGGUACCUGAGUAAGAAGCCCCGGCUAACUACGUGCCAGCAGCCGCGGUAAUACGUAGGGGGCAAGCGUGAUCCGGAUUUACUGGGUGUACAGGGAGCGUAGACGGUGCGACCAGUCUGAAGUGAAAGCCCGGGGCUCAACCCCGGGACUGCUUUGGAAACUGCCUGACUGGAGUGCUGGAGAGGCAAGCGGCCUUCCUCGUGUAGCGGUGACAUGCGUAGAUAUUAGGAAGCACCCCAGUGGCGAAGGCGGCUUGCUGGACAGUACCUGCCGUUGCGGCUC
rnacentral:rRNA from 1 species